AUUUUCCUAACUCCUGUCUGCAUCUUCCAUCUCCAGAUAACUUUUAUCUUUGAUCCUUGUGCUAUAAUUGCAAUACUCUCUUUAUAUAUUCACUUAAUUGGUUACAUUCAUUAAUUUAUUAUUUGGGAUUAAUCUUAAAGGGGUCAAAAUCCAGUUCCUUCAGAUUCAAGACAAUAUGUUUUCCCAGAGAACUGUGGGCGUUCACAAACAAGCACAUACACUCAAAUGGAUGCCUCAGCCUGCCAUCUGAGGUAAAUUAGUGCAGAUUGUUGGCCUCACCAAUACUCCUAAAAAGUUGGAAAACUAACUAAAAGCUAGUUUCAGAGUCCUCUUCAUAACAGUGUCUAGGGAGCUCAAAGACUUAAAGCCUGUCAGAGAAGAUGCUAAGUAGCAAGAGCAACAGCUUUCAUCUCUGUGUUUACUGGCGAGAGCUUUUCUUACAUGAAUACUCAUUCUAUUGGGUUUGUACAGCAGGCCAGCAGGUGGAGUCAUAAACUAUUAUGAGCAAAACUCUUAUUCCAAUGUACAAAUACACUGCACACAAUCAUUGUGUCAUUCUUUGAGCAUUCUGGCAUUUUCACUUAGAUUUUCCAUUUUUAUCGUGUGCGUUAAGAACAUGUGGUGUUGAUGCUACAGCACAAUUAGGACUUUCUUUGGUGUGUUCACCAUCUCUAGACAAUAUCAACUCGUGUCAGCAUUAUACAUUUUUCCAGGGGAGUAACAUCAACAGAAGAAGUGAAGGAAUGAAGAAUACAGGUAUGACUGCCAUGGGCUCUUCAUAAGGUUGGGUAAGGAUAGAAUUGGUUUGAUGAUUCGGUUAAUAAUUCUGGUUGAUUACAGGAACACUACACUGACAUCACUAGGGAAGACACUCAGCAUCUGUGGAUGUCGAUGGGUUGUAGACUUCAGGCAGUCAUUGCAUGCUAAGGAUUUGCAACCAAGUAUUAAAUGCUACAAAUUAAUUUAAGACGAUUUUAAUGUGUUUAAUUCCUUCUAGACCCCUAGAUUGGGAGAGACUGUAAUUCCUACAUGUGAAUACCAUCAAAUUAAACCUGACAGUCUGUACUUUAACAUUUCAGUCAUUGUUUCAUUUAAAACCCAUUGUCCUGGAGUACAGAGUCAAGGCAAAACCUCUGUCACUGUCCAAUUACUUAUGAACUGCUCUGUAUCUGCUGUAAUAGUGGAAUGAUCGUGUUUGACAUCAUUUACUUAUCAGGCAUUUUUAGGGUUGUUUUGUUAGGGGUAAAAGUUUACCAUCUAGGGUGUUACUGAGGGGACAGGCAGUAGAAUUAGUGCAGGAGAAUAUAACCUCCCUGAUUCCGAAUUGUUUGUGAAUAUACGUGAUCAUAAGUGACCAUACAGUAAUAUGCCGGUAUUUCUUAGUAAAGGUAGCUACUCUUUCGUCAGGAGACUAGCAUUAAAAGGUCAUGUGUUUCACGGUCUAUGCACAUCUUCUUUGCUUCUCUUCAGUCAAGUAGACAUGUGUAGACAUGUACAGUAGACACAUAGAAACAGUCGUCUCUUGCCAUUGCUUACCAUCAUUUUUUCCCCAAACUAAUGGCCAUUUUCCACUGCAUGGUACCGGCUCAACUACACCCCUGUAGCCUCGACUUUCAUCACUUUAAGGGCGAAAGUAUUUUUAAUGUUUUUCAACACUGUCGUGUCUGUAGAUAGCACUGUAGUGAUUGUGAAUUGCAUGUAAGGCAAGACAAUCGCCAUUUUGCAAGAUAGGAAUCCCACGUUCUAGUAAUGUAAAAACUGGAUCAUUUUAGUGACUUGGUUCUUUAAGUCUCUUUUUUAGGGUGUGUAGGCUAUCAGCUAUAUGCUCUGAAUUGGACAAUAGAACAUGUGGUUUAUGACAUUGUUUUACUACAAUUUGAUGAACUCCCGAAACUCAAAGCUAUGGGUAAAAGCUUACAAAACCUUCCAGCGUGGGCCCCUACCACCCCACAACACCCUGUGGAUUGCAGCCCUGGAGGAUGGAGCAAGCACAGUACUCCAAGGCACCAGAGUGGUACUCCACGCCACAAUGUGGAGGACUGCUACAUAGGGAAAUUAGACUUGGGGCAUGUUUUAGCUCUGCACAUGAAGAACAUUUGGAGAAGAUCAGGCAGCUGACUGAAGAGAAGGUUGAGCUGACGGCACAGCUGGCUCUACAAUCACUUCUGAUAAACGUCUGACUGAAGAGAAUGUCAAGCUGAGGGCCCAGCUGGCUCAACAAUCAGGAGCCAUAAGGAAGAAUCCUUCCUACCGGGAAUCAUGCCAUCGAUGAAGCUGUCCAGAACCAGGUCCCCAGGUACCAGAAAGGGGCAGCUGACCGUGUAAGUGGGAGAAGAUGUCGCGGUGGUACAAGGGACCUGCCGUGAAUAUGAAUGACAUCUCCAGCACAACCAAUAUUGCUGCUAAUAUUUCACUUAGGGGUGUACUCACGUUUUCUUGUAGAAUUGUUUUUGUUUUAUUUAUUUCAAUGCAUGUUUUUUGUAUGCAUCUUGCACUAUUUGAAAUUAAUUUAUAUUUUAUUCAGUUCAUUGUCAUUUGUGAUAUGACCAAAAUUAUUGUAAAUUAUUAUGAAUAAAACCUAAUAUUGGGGCGUCCAGCACCAUCCAAAGCUACACACUUGGUCUUGCAGAAUGCUUCAUCCAGAAAACAUUUACCUGUAACAUCACACCUGGUUCAUCUUUGCGGUUGGGGCUAACUUGGCCCCCACCUUGUAUGUCCGCUCCUUUCAGGAGAAGUAAAUAGGCCCAAUGGUGUGAGAUUUGGAUGUCCCACUGUGUUGAGACUCCAGACAACAUGGCACCUUCACAAACCUUCCAAAACACAUCUUUCAUUACACUACAGAUGCAUACAACAGGGCAUCCUAAACUUUGUAAUUUGGUCAACAGAGUACAUUAGUGAGAAAAGUUAGUUUGAAUGAACUGUUUGUUGCUUUAAUUCAGCUUACUCCAACAAAAUGGUAGCAAAUUAGGGAUAUCUCUUUUAAAGUGUCUAAAAUCAAUUUGGAGAAAGAAUCACUAGCGUAACUGCCUGUUCAUUGUCUGCUUCCACAUCACUCAUGCAAACUCAAACACCCUACUCUAUUUAAAUGUAGUAUUGCUAACCAAGUUACAUAUCCUGGGAAAUGUCUACUAGUGACCUUCUUAUGCUUUCACUAACACAAAGUCAGAAAUAUGGCCCUUUGUAGUUCUAGCUUGUCUUCUUCAAAUAAAAUGUUAAACCCAAUGGAGUCUCAUGUAGCUCAGAUGGUAAGGGAUUUGCACAUGCAACGCCAGGGUUGUAGGGUCAUUUCCCACAGGGGGUAAGAAUAAAAAAUAUGACAAUUUACAAUUAGGACCUGCUAAAUACCUUAUUUAAAUGUCUACACCUAAGCACACUGCUAACCCUAAUUUUAUGUAAAGUUAGUGACUUGUUUGAGUUUCUACAAUAUCCCCAAUGACUUCAUGUAAAACAGAAAGUAUCCCACUUUCUCUUUCUCACUCUGCAUAGCCACUGCUUUUACUGUUCCGUCAUGAAAAUGACAAAAUAUUUAAUUAAAAUGUUAUUCUCUUCACUUGCCACUGUUCUGUCAAAGAAAAUGUUGCGUAAGG
ensembl:lncRNA